AACUGAAGAGUUUGAUCAUGGCUCAGAUUGAACGCUGGCGGCAGGCUUAACACAUGCAAGUCGAGCGGGGGAAGGUAGCUUGCUACUGGACCUAGCGGCGGACG
rnacentral:rRNA from 1 species